GAGAGAUCUAGUGCGAGAAGUGCUUGAAGGGAACUCUAGAGGUCCUCUGAUAUGAUAUAUAUUCAAUUGGGAAAUAUUAAUUAAUUAAAUAAUUAAUUUCCCACACCUCGUCUUCUUCUUCUUCUUCUUGCUGCUAUUUAUAGGGUUUUCUUCUCUCUCUCUCUCUCUCUAUGGAGCUUUGUGGCAAAUUAAAAGGCAUUGGGUGCUGGGAGGCAGAAUUCUUCAAUUGUGUAUGAACCUGGACGUCUCUGUGGAUGAAUUGAAGCAAGGCAAACCCUCCCCACUUCCCACAAUGGCGUCCACAUACAUCCAUCCCUGCAGAGGUGCGCUGCUCAAAGUAAAGUUUCAGUUGAACUUAAUGGUCUGUAAAUUAGGCUCAAUAUAUAUUAUGUAUUAUUCUCUAUGUUUCACAUAUCAUGUUCACGUUACUGUUUCUAUCCGUCUCACAUUUCAUGUCACUUUUCUUUUUUGGAAAAUCAU